UUUGUUAAGAAGUCAUUAAAAAGUCCAGUUUUAAUCCAAAUAAAUUCAUGAUAAUUACACUUAAAACAUUGAUUUUCCAUUCAUCUAUCAAAGAAUGCAUUGUUUCAUUGCAAAAAAAGAAAUCAAAAUUACAUUUUGUAAAGGUUGACUUUUUGGUCAACUGUUGACUUUUUGGUCAUUUGUUGACUUUUUGGUCAACCAACCUUUUUUCAUGACCUAACCCUAAUUUCUACUUGAAUUCCAUGUCCUUCCCAUCUUUCCAUUACCAAACAUUCUUCAUGAACAAGAAAACCAUUUUUGUGCCAUGCUUUGUUUUGUCAUCAGAGUCUCUUGCCAUAUCUUGAAAUCGUGUCAUUACAAGCAUUAAUCCAAGCAUGACACAAUUCAUCACAACCCUGCAAAAAUAGCCAUGGCAAUACACCCAUACAUACACACUUAGCAUACAAGAACCAAGUUCAAGCAUGCUUCCAUGACCUUUGAUGAGCUAAGUUAUCUUUGCAUCGCAUUGAUUCUCAUAGCGAAGAAAAACUCCAUGCAUGAAAUGUUGUUCCUAUAAAACCAUAGCAGCAUAAGACUUUGAAUCAAUUAGAAACCAGGGCCUGUAUAACAUUCAUCUGCAGUAAUCACACUCAUCUGUAACAGUAGUACAUCAGACCUGCAGCCACACACACAUUGACAAUACAAUGACAACACAUUAGACUUGUAUCACUAGUAAUUUGUCUACAUAAUCUGCAGCAAAACAACACAUCCAUUCAGCAAUGCAACAACCAAGUUGAAUGGAAGGUCCUGCAGCCCUAGACCUGCAUUAAGGCCCUCACCUAGACCUGCAUUAAAAACAUGGAAAAUGCAGGGUAUGUAUUGCAUCAUAAUGCAUAAAAAACAAUCCCAUUCCAAACUAGCCAAUGACCAGUUCAUCAUAAAAUAAUAGCCAUGGAAUAUGCAACCAAGUUCACAACCUUAGAACACCACCAAGAAACAUGUUUCAUCAUAACUAAUUCAUGUUAGUUCACUACACAACACAUAGACUAACAACAAGUUCAAUUGAAAUGGCAACUUAAAUAAUUCACAUUCCUAACCAAAAAACAAAAGAGUAUUAACACUUACUAAUAGUCUAAGCAGACAAGUGAUUCCCUAACUGAUAAUAACAUAUAACAUUCAAGGUUCCAUUUUAAGCCAACCUUUUAAUAUCCACUAACUACUUUCACUAUAAUUUCCUAACUCAUCCAGUUCACAACCAACUGACUUUUGCAUUCCACGGCUAAUCUCAUUUCAAUUAACCAACGGGGCAUUCAUUUCAUUUCAUAUUUUUUAUUUCAUUUCAUUUCACUCCAAUCAACUAAUGUCAUUUCAAUAACUAACUCAACAAAUUCCAUAACUAACUUUCUAAUUUCAGUUACAUUUGAUCCUAAUUUCAUUUGAGUUUGAACAGAAUUUGGAAUCCAUAAAUACUCUCAUCACAGUUCAGUUAGAGGAUCCUUUUUUUCACUCUUAGAAUCCUCCUAACACCAAUCUCGAAUUCUCUCUCUCUCUCUGAACUCACCCUCACCACAACUCCAUUACCAGGCCAUUGAAGCUUCACAUAGAAGUUUCAAUCUGUUGAGGUUGAACCUCAAUCAACAGAUCCCUCUCCUUACUCUCACACAUGGUUUAAAGCGAAAUCCCUCCUCAUUUCCUACAGACUAUAGUCACCAAGAAGAAGAAUAAAAAUAAGGCAAGAUCGAGGAUCCAAGAAUUGCAUACCUAGAGAAUCUCUGGAUUUCUUGUUCAAUAUCGUCACCUACGUUUUCAACAAAAUCUGGGAAACUCCUAUGUUCCGUAGGUAGGUUUUACUCCUUGUUUCAUCUCUAUUUUCUCUCCAGUCAUGUAGUGAUUAGGGUGAAGAAUUAAAGCCCUCACACAAGGAGCUUCAAUUCCUUCAUAUCAUUGUUCAAUUCGUAUCUCAAGACCUAUGGUUCACAAGUAUUUGGAUUCGGUUAGUGUUCUACGUGUGGUUUAGGUUGAAAUUGAUUGGAGAGUCAGAUCGGGGAGGAUAAGACAGUUCUAGUGAGGUGUUUGAUUUUAAUUUCUGGUGGCCACCGUCGCCGAAAGCGAUUUCCGGCGUGGUGGCCCACUGUGGUCAUUCGGAGGUGGAUUGAGCUGAUGGACUCAGUGACAUGGCGCGUGUUUUAGUUCAUUUUCAAAUUCAGUUUGAAUUAUCCGUGUGUUGAUUUCUUCCUUGGUUUUCGAAUGGGCCUCCAUGGUGCUGAGCCUUUGGACUUUAUAUUGACCAUCCUCCCACAUUACUCCCUGCACCCCUCAUUGCUUUGAGUUAGAUUGAAGUGGGAGUUCGGUGGGCCUUGCUUCCAUGCCCACACAGUUUUUUGUUUCUUGACACUCUAUUCAGGGCCUUCC
rnacentral:lncRNA from 1 species